CAUUAUCGUACACAGAAGGCACCCAGGGCUGGUCGCUGGCCUUAACAGGUUGUGCACGCCCAAAGUGCUCUCAAAUCCAUCUCACCCCUUUGUGCAUCACCGCGUGGGGCCCCCAUUCGGGGGUCUUGCGUUUUUACAACAUACGCCGCAUGUAUAGAAUGUCUUUGCGAUCACACGCAAUUAAUAUAACUUUCAACAACGGAUCUCUUGGCUCUCGCAUCGAUGAAGAACGCAGCGAAAUGCGAUACGUAAUGUGAAUUGCAGAAUUCAGUGAAUCAUCGAAUCUUUGAACGCACCUUGCGCCCCUUGGUAUUCCGAGGGGCACACCCGUUUGAGUGUCGUGAACACCCUCAACCKUCUUGGUUUCUUGACCAGGAAGGCUUGGACUUUGGAGGUUUUCCUUGCUGGCUUGUAUUUAGUUGGCUCCUCCUAAAUGAAUUAGUGGGAUUUGCUUUGCUGAUCCUUGACGUGAUAAGUACGUUUCUACGUCUUGGUCUUCACAAUGUCACCUGCUUCAAACUGUCUUUAAACAAAAGACAAUGUUCGAGUCGCCUCGUGAGUCGUGGCUUGACCUCACCAACCUUGACCU
rnacentral:rRNA from 1 species